GACAGAGGAUGCAAGCGUUAUCCGGAAUGAUUGGGCGUAAAGCGUCUGUAGGUGGCUUUUUAAGUCCGCCGUCAAAUCCCAGGGCUCAACCCUGGACAGGCGGUGGAAACUACCAAGCUGGAGUACGGUAGGGGCAGGAGGGAAUUUCCGGUGGAGCGUGAAAUGCGUAGAGUAUCGUUUGGAACGCCAAUGGUGAAAACAGGUAACUGGGAGUGUGCCGACGCUGAGACACGAAAGCCAGGG
rnacentral:rRNA from 1 species